UAUCACAUUGAAAUAUCGGUUCCCGUACGAUCACUUAUGUUAAGCAAUGUUGAGCCUGGUAACUACCUCGAUGGGUGACUGCUUGGGAAAACCAGGUGC